rnacentral:misc_RNA from 1 species
AGCAGCCGCGGUAAUUCCAGCUCCAAUAGCGUAUAUUAAAGUUGUUGCAGUUAAAAGCUCGUAGUUGAAUUUCGGGGUUAGUAGGUUGGUCAUGCCUCUGGUAUGUACUGGUCUCACUGAUUCCUCCUUCCUGAUGAACCUUAAUGCCAUUAAUUUGGUGUUUUGGGGAAUUUGGACUGUUACUUUGAAAAAUUAGAGUGUUUAAAGCAAGCUAACGCUUGAAUACAUUAGCAUGGAAUAAUGAAAUAGGACGUUCGAUCCUAUUUUGUUGGUUUCUAGGAUUGACGUAAUGAUUAAUAGGGAUAGUUGGGGGCAUUAGUAUUCAAUUGUCAGAGGUGAAAUUCUUGGAUUUAUUGAAGACUAACUACUGCGAAAGCAUUUGCCAAGGAUGUUUUCAUUAAUCAAGAACGAAAGUUAGGGAUCGAAGACGAUCAGAUACCGUCGUAGUCUUAACCAUAAACUAUGCCGACUAGGGAUCGGAUGAUGUUAAUUUUUAAUGUACUCAUUCGGCGUCCUUACG